rnacentral:rRNA from 1 species
UUGACUGCCGGUGACAAACCGGAGGAAGGUGGGGAUGACGUCAAAUCAUCAUGCCCCUUAUGAUUUGGGCUACACACGUGCUACAAUGGACAAUACAAAGGGUAGCGAAACCGCGAGGUCAAGCAAACCCCAUAAAGUUGUUCUCAGUUCGGAUUGUAGUCUGCAACUCGACUAUAUGAAGCUGGAAUCGCUAGUAAUCGUAGAUCAGCAUGCUACGGUGAAUACGUUCCCGGGUCUUGUACACACCGCCCGUCA